rnacentral:lncRNA from 1 species
GGAGGGUGGGCGAAGCACUGAAGGGAGCGAGGUCAGGAAGGCAGAAGUCAGGCACUUUGGGAGGAGAAAUGGCGGGGGCAGGCCAGGAGAGACCAUCUGGUCCAACCCACCCCCCACCUCUACUAACAGAAGGGGAAAUGAAGGUCUGGAGCGAAGGAGCAGUCUGGCCAAGGACCUGUCACCGUCGCACCAUCCAAUAGCAACCGGUCUUGGUUCAGUUUCUACUUAAACUCUGGCUUGCCCCUCUUGAGUCUACGACAGACUAUGUAAUAGGCCACCACAUGGCCUCUGUUUUCAUGGCACAAAAAAAAAAAAAUACGUUUUGCAAGAUGUUUUUACUUUUACUCAAGUUUUCUCCACAGAGCUGCUUUUUACCUUUAUCGUUGUUUAAUUUACAAAUGAGUAAGGUAGAAUCCUUGGACAAAUUAAACUAGAAUCUGUGUUUCCUCUGAUGA